AUGCACGUGAUGAAGCAAAGCAGUAUGAUUAAUGUCAUGAUACUGUAAACGCUUUCUGAUGCU
ensembl:snoRNA small nucleolar RNA Z39